UUCUAACCGUCUAAUAUACUAAUCGUUAGUGGCGGACGGGUGAGUAACACGUUGGAACCUGCCCAAAGUAGGAUAAGCCACCGAAAGGUUGGUCUAAUACCUUAUAGUAUCCAUCUCGUAUGGAUUAAAGCCCUUAUGCGCUUUGGGAGGGGCCUGCGUUUGAUUAGCUAGUUGGUGAGGUAAAAGCUCACCAAGGCGACGAUCAAUAGCUGGUUUGAGAGGAUGACCAGCCACACUGGGACUGAGAUACGGCCCAGACUCCUACGGGAGGCAGCAGUAAGGAAUCUUCCACAAUGGGGCAACCCUGAUGGAGCAAUACCGCGUGCAGGAUGAAGCGUUUCGGCGUGUAAACUGCUUUAUCACCGAAGAUUAUGACUGUAGGUGAAGAAUAAGGACCGGCUAACUACGUG
rnacentral:rRNA from 1 species